rnacentral:rRNA from 1 species
UACGUAGGGGGCGAGCGUUGUCCGGAAUGAUUGGGCGUAAAGGGCGCGUAGGCGGCCUAUCAAGUCAGUAGUGGAAGUCCAGCUUUCAAGGUUGGAAGUGCUAUUGAAACUGAGGGGCUUGAGUGCAGGAGAGGUUAUCGGAAUUCCCGGUGUAGCGGUGAAAUGCGUAGAGAUCGGGAGGAACACCAGUGGCGAAGGCGGGUAACUGGACUGCAACUGACGCUGAUGCGCGAAAGUGUGGGGAGCAAACAGGAUUAGAUACCCGGGUA